rnacentral:rRNA from 1 species
UACGGGGGGGGGCGAGCGUUGUCCGGAUUCAUUGGGCGUAAAGAGCGUGUAGGCGGCCAGGUAGGUCGGUUGUGAAAAACUGGAGGCUCAACCUUCAGAGGUCGACCGAAACCAUCUGGCUAGAGUCCGGGAGAGGAGAGUGGAAUUCCUGGUGUAGCGGUGAAAUGCGCAGAUAUCAGGAAGAACACCCGUGGCGAAAAGCGGCUCUCUGGAACGGUACUGACGCUGAGACGCGAAAAGCGUGGGGGAGCGAACAGG